UUACAAUUUACAGGUUCGAAAUUGUUCGAAUUCUUUAGUUUUGUGAUCACGUAAAAAGUUAAUUUUACAUGUUUUUAUUCGCAAUUUAUUUACUAAAUCGAGAACAAAUAUCAAACAAAAUAGAGAAAAUAUAUAGUUGUUUCAUUGGUCCAUAAAAAUAAAAUGGAUGUAAAAUUACUAAUUUAAAAUUAACGUUCUGAUACACUUAUUGAAUCUGUUUCCCCAGGAUAUGCUGUUCUAUUAAUAUUUACCUUUAUCAACACGAACGACAACUCUGCUAGGAGAAUGUUAUCAAUGAAAAUCAGUGAGCAAUCUCCUACGCAGUGGCGAAUGCCAAGGGAAGUAACUGAAAAAUCGAGUUAUCUCAAUCGGACUGGCUCGGUCUUUUACAUAGGUCGCCAUUGUGAAGAUUUUUUUUACUGGUUAUCAUUCCUUAGACGAUGCUGUUCCAGCAUCGUCAAAAAUUGGAGGACUGAUGCAGCUGUUAUUGCGCGCAUAAUACGGAAUUGAGAUAUGGCGAACGGCAAUAGAAGGCUUGAUUUGCAACCGUUUCGGGUGGACUGCAGCGACCACAUAGCAACGGGCUAGGCAUGGUGUGAAUGGCUUGAGGACUUUGAAAGGCAAGUCAGAUACUUCAAAAUCACUGAAGAUGAUGAUAAAACGGACGCUUUACUUAUCUACGGCGGACCAGAGAUUAAACAAUCACGAGUCAGUGAGAAGCAGGGAGGCAAACAGACUGGUGUACAAGCCCAAACCACAUUUGGGCUUGAAAAGAUCCACUCUACACUGAUUUAGUAACUGUGUUUUUAAUUCUGAUUAUUUUAUUAUGAACGCUUAUGAUUGUUUAAUCAUUGAAUACGAAAUCUUUGAAAUAAA